AAAGGGAAGGAUAAGCUCUUCAUCCUCACCAUCCGAGAGAGGGUUUACGGAUUGGAGCUCAUAUAAAAAGGAACAAGAAUCAGCAGCCGCAAGAGGAGGGGAGAUAGAGAGCACGGCUGGAAAAAUUCUGAGGCAAAACAGAAAUCAGAGAGAAUAGGCAUCAAGGAUGGCUGCAAAACUUAAGGAAAAACAGAGGAAGGAAAUGGAGGAGCUGGGUUUCGGGCAGACAAAGGAGAAGAAAUAAGAAAGGGGGAGGAAAAGAGUGGAACGGCAAAAAGAAAAGGAGAAGAAAGAGAGAGGCGACGGACAGCAAAGAAAAACAAGAGAGCUAACGGCUGAGUGAGUAAAAGGGAGAGCUUUGAGAGUUUUGGAAGGAGGUGACGGCUGAAAUCUGGAAAAAGAAAGGAAAGCCAGAGAAAGGAGUGGACGGCUGGUGAGGAAGAAGGCUAGAGUUUUGAGAGAGGUGGGCUGUGAGGAACAGAAAACUGGAGAGCUUUCGGGCAGAGUAAGGAACCGUGAGUGAAGGAAAGCCAGACAGAGAGAAACUAGAACAAGGAGAAGAGGAUCUGCGGCCCAUUGCCCUCAGAUUGUGGUGGAUUCCAGUCAGUUACUCCAAAGUCCUAUCAAAAUCCAGUUCUUGUAGCAGCAAAACAGGUAAUCCUCAACCUCUUCCCGUAUGAAAAAUCCAGUUCUUGCAUGAUUGUGUUUUGGCCGAGAGAAAAUGGUUAAAGUUUCCAACUUUGGUUGGUGGUUCGUCUUAGGUUGAGUUUUGGGUUGCAAGACUAGAUUUUUCUUGUAAGUUAGUGUCAUAGAUUCUCAUUUUAAGUAUUGCUGCUGUCCAUGUGAGGAACAAGAACCAAACCAGAAAAUGGAGUGCUUCUUCGGCAAGUUGAAUUUCUGACUUUUAAUUCGUUGAUUUCCUUUUUCGUUCUGUGAGUUUGUAAGCUGUUUUUGGGUAGUUAUAGGUAUAAAAUGCAUGUUUUGUAUGUUUGGGGGCUGAAACACUUGAAUUAAGAUCAAAUGCUUGCUGAAAAUGAUCAUUUCAGGUUGCUGAACCACCUUUGCACACAUAUUUUUCCAGAAUUUUUUGCAUGGCUUCAGUCUGGUUUUUGUUCGUCUGGAUUGGGGUGGUUGUAUAGUUACUUGCGUAGUUUAAAGCUGUGAUGUUGGGGUUGAAGGGUAUCUAAUCAAAGUCGUGUGUUUGAAUUGGAAAUUUGAGUUAGGAAACAAAAAAAAAUGCAGCAGGCUUCACUUUUGGCUGCUGAAUUUUUUCGAGUGUUUGAAUUACUUAGUUUGCUGGUUAUUUGGAAUAUUUUGAGAGGUGUUUAACGUGGUUUUGAGUGAAGUUGAUUUGAAGUUUUAAAUGAACUUGGUUUUGCCGAAAGUUUACAUGCAAGGAUAGAAAGUCAUGGCUGAAAAUUGCAGAAGCCAAAUCCGCAAGUCUGUUGAAAGGUUCAAGCAGUUUGCAUGUUUUUCCAUGCUCAUGGUUCAUUGUACCAUGGCAUUUAUGUGUGUUUUGAAGUAAUGAUUUUGUUAGGUGAAAGGUUUGGUUAAAGAUGAGGUGCUAAAGUCCAAAGUUUGUGUUUGAAAAUGCAGCAAAUUAGUACAGAAGCCUAAGCUGCCACAAUUUUUCUGUGAUGUUUUCUUCUCUGUGUUUGAUUUGUUGAGUUUUCCUACUUAACCUGCAUGCCUAAUCUUAUGUUUGAAUGGAAGAAAAGAAGGUUUGGUGUUGAGUUUGCAUUCUUUGAAUCACAGGAAAUGUAAACUAGCUUGAAUGUUGGCCAAGUAAAAUAGAUUUCCCUAAAAAUUCUGAAUGGUGGGUGAGUUGUCUUGAACCAAUCUGAAUCAUGAGUUGGUUUCUCAUUCCAGAUUUCUCUUUGUUUUUUUUUAUGCAUAAAAGGUGUUUUUAAGAAUGAGUUUGCAACCUUUAGCGAGUGCUAGGAAGCUGGAUUUUCUUCUUGGUUAAAAUCUUUUCUCUUGCCGCAUAAGGCUGCUGAAGUUCCAAAGUCUCGGCUGACUCUCUUUGGCUGCAGAAAUGUUUCCUAAGCUUUGCAUGAAGUCACCUGAACUGUUCAGAUUUUGCAUGUCUGUUGGCUGACCUUUGGUGUUAAAUUUAUAAGUUUCAUGAUGCAAAAUGAGUGGAAUGUAUGGUAGUUUUUUUUGUUUGGAUUUAAUUGAGUUUGAAAGCUGUUAAUGCCGAAUUGAGGGAAGCUUUCAUCAGAAUUCUUGUUGCAGGCAAUGUUUACGUAGCUUUGCAUGGUUUUGCAUGAAACUAUUUUUGAAAAUUUCACUUUAACCCCCCAAGUCUCCCCUUGUUCUACUAUGACCCACAAAUUUGAGAAAGCUAAUCAAUUGGGUCCCUGUGAUUUUUGUAGCAAUGCAUUAUGGCCCAAUUACAUUCCAAUGUCUUGCAAUUAGGUUCUAAGGUGUUUGCAUUUGAAUCAUUAAUUGAUCUUUAUUAUUUUUGGGACCUUUGAAGCUCUUUGAUGAUUCAUUUUGACGUUGAUUGUGAUUGAUUAGUGGUCGUUAUUGGGUCCUAGAAAUGCAAGUUUAAACCAUUCAUGGACUUUCAUUCACUCUUGGAUUCUUGAGAUAUGAUGUUUGCUUGGAUUUUAAUUUUUACUUGGGGACCUUUGAGUUUUUAAAUGCUUCAAUUAGGUUCAAAUGAUUUGAGUAGUGCUUGCAUUUGGGUUUUUAGUAGAUGUUAUGCUUGGGGAUUGGAUGAUCAUGCUUUUUGCCUUGGUCUUUAAGUAGUUUUGACUUCAUUGAGUUGCAAUUGAGGGAAAGUUUGAUGUUUGGUGGAUUCAAAUUGUUUAGUUUAUAUCUUAUCAUUAAAUUGGUGCAUUAAUCUUUUGUUUUUGGUGAUUUUAGCCUAAAUUAGUCUUUUCUUGGGUGACUCUAGCCAAGUUGAGUUUGUUUACUUCCUUAGUAUCACCAACGGGGCGGUAUAAUCUCUUUUACCCCUUUUGUUUCUCUCCUAUGUGGACUAAUGUGCUAAUUGAAAUUUGCAUGUCUACUUGCUUUCCUAGCCUCUCCUUAUUUCCUUUCAGUUAUUUCAUUUACUUUUGAUUUUUAUUAAUGGGGUAUGUGUACACCUCUUGGCUUGUAAUAGAUAGGGCGUAGCAAGUAAUUUGGUCCAUUUUUCCUUUCCCUUUUGUUUUAGUUAGCAAAUGUAAUGGUUGCAUGCCUAUGUGUUAUAUGUUAAAUGCUUUAUUAGGAUUUUGCAUCUAGUCAAGCAUGCUAAGUGUUAUGUGCUACGUGUUUAUAAGUGAUUCGCAUGUCUACUCGCUUUUUAUAGUGUGGAUGAAUGGAAUGGAUGAAUGUACGUCACCACACUAGUCCAACGCUAGUUGUGGCUUCUUUUAUCGUUUCCACUAGUCCAACGCUAGUCGGAAUUCAUAGGAGGGGCUAGUCCAAUGCUAGACCCAAUAGGUUUUUUUUUCCUUUUUCAUGAAGUGCAUGAUCACCACAUAUCACGCAUUUUUCCUUAGUUUAUCAUUUGGUAUGUUCCUCAAACCCCUUCCCCUUCACUUUAGGACUUGCAUCUCAUGCUAGUUAGGGUUCAUUUGCGUGAAAAUCCCCUCUUGAUAAGGGAAACGAGCGAGUGUGGCUACUCGAUAGCCUUAGCACGCUAGUUUCGCCUUCUAAUCAAAGGGAAAAUCGAAGUCGAAAAGUUAGGAGUCAACCCCCGUACCCGACUUGUUGCAUUCCUCUAGGGUCAUACUUUCAUUUUUAUCACCUACAUACUCUUUUAACCACAUUUUUUCACAUUUCUCAAAACCAUCCUUUCUCACUACAUUUUUCCUAUCACGUGCUCAUUUUCACCUCACAAAUGGAAUUCCACUUUACCUUAUAUAUCUAUUAUUCUAUUUUCACACACUUGCACACAAGAAACACUCAAAUUUUAUACAAUUUCACACAUGCACCUUUUUAUACAUUCGAACACUUGCACUUACAUUUCUUGCAUCUUUCAUACACUUUCACACUUGCACACUUGAAUUUGAACUCUCACUUGGAUUAAUCGACCUCUAUGAGGUUUUCCUUUGUUGGCCGCCACAAUUCAUGUGGUUUUGGACCAAAAGCCUCACAAGAGACAUCGUAGAAUUUAGGAUUGCAUUUUCCUUUCCGUUUUGCAUUCAUAUAGUCAUAUCCAACGUGCGAUACAUACAUUGGGUAGAAGAUUAGGAAAGGUAAGGUUAAGUCGCGCAACUAGCCUUGGCUAGGUCAAAGGGGUGCCUUGGAUUCUAUCCUUGCCUUCCCCUUUGUCAAACGUGACUCCCGAACCUUUUUCUUUGGCUUACGUGGACUAGGAGUCGUUUUAAAAGGGUUUUACUACUUUGUCUUUAAAAAUUUAUUUUUCAGGUGACUUGGUACACCUUAAUCAUUACCAAGUGGCGACUCCAAUUUCUCAUUCAAAAACCCUUUUUAAAACACUAUUUUGGGUCAAAUCGUCGCUUUUUCAAGUCCCAUAUUAGACCCCAUAUCUUUUUCAACUCACAAAAAUCAUUUUCCAAUCACAAUUGAAUCAAACACAUCUUUCUCAAACCAUUUUUAUUUAUUUAUUUUUCUUAUCAAAAAAUGGGGCGCGACAGUAAGGGUGACCUCCACUCUACUGGAACGUAUAAAAGAGGCGCAAGGCAAGGAUUUGAUGGUACAGAAGUGGAGAGAGAAAGUGGAAAAGGGAGAAACAACGGACUUCAAUCUGAGUCCUGAGGGUAUGUUGCAAUAUCGAGAUCGAAUAGUGGUACCAAAGGAGGAAUCGUUGAAAGCAGAAAUUUUGGAGGAAGCUCAUAGGUCCAAGUAUACAAUCCAUCCGGGCAGCAGCAAGAUGUAUCAAGACCUAAAAGGAACCUAUUGGUGGGACAACAUGAAGAGGGAAAUCGUUCAAUACGUGCAGAAAUGUCUCAUUUGCAGCAAGUGAAGGCAGAGCAUCAAAAACCAUCGGUUGUUACAACCCUUGGAGAUACCCGAGUGGAAGUGGGAAAACAUCACCAUGGACUUCGUUUCAAGUUUACCGAGGACGCAAAGAGGAAACGAUGCCGUUUGGGUGAUCGUUGAUCGAUUAACCAAGUCGGCCCAUUUCUUGCCGGUAAACAUGAAGUAUUCAAUGGACAAAUUGACCCGAUUGUACAUGGAUGAAAUUGUAAGGCUACACGGAGUGCCUGUGAGCAUCGUCUCUGAUCGGAGAUCCACGAUUUGUAUCACGGUUUUGGCAGAAGUUUCAAGAAACCCUGGGACGAAAACUCAAUUUGAGCACUACCUAUCACCCUCAGACGGAUGGCCAGUCGGAACGGACGAUUCAGACUCUUGAGGAUAUGCUACGAACCUGUAUUCUGGACUUUAGAGGCAAUUGGGGUCAGCACAUGACCUUGGUAGAAUUUGCGUACAACAAUAGCUUCCAUUCGUCAAUUCAAAUGGCUCCGUAUGAAGCUCUCUACGGACGCAAGUGCCGCUCACCGAUUUAUUGGGAUGAAGUAGGUGAAAAGAAAGCACUGAAUCCGCAACCAUUCCAUGGAUGGAAGAGGCUCAGGAAAAGGUCAAGUUGAUACGACAACGACUUCAAACCGCCCAAAGUCGUCAAAAGAGCUACGCGGAUAACCGAAGAAAAGAUUUGGAAUUUGAAGUUGGAGAUUAUGUAUUUCUCAAAAUCACACACCUUACGAAGUCUUACAACGGGCAAAGAAAGAAACUUCAACCGCGGUACGUCGGACCCUAUAAGAUCCUUCAAAGGGUUGGAGUGGUCGCGUAUCGAUUGGAACUACCAUCCAGUCUAUCUCGAAUCCACGACGUAUUUCACGUCUCGAUGCUAAAGAAGUACCAUCCUGACCCAUCUCAUGUUUUACAACCGGAGGAUAUCGAAGUAGAUGAAUCACUGGCCUAUGAAGAGAAACCGGUUCAAGUACUCGAUCGAAAAAUCAAAGAGCUCCGAAACAAACGGAUUCCACUAGUGAAGGUGCUAUGGAGAAACCACGGAGUUGAGGAAGCCACCUGGGAGAUGGAAGAGGAAAUGCGAAAGAAAUACCCAAACCUUUUCGGGAAUUAAGGUGAGAAAUUUCGAGGACGAAAUUCUUUUAAGGGGGGGAGAGUGUGAGAACCCGUAAAACCCUAAUUAUUUUUCUAGGGUUUAUUUCCCUUAAUUGCAUGUUUUCUGCAUUUUCUGGCUUAGAGAUAUUUUCUUAGUGGAUUUUAUGAGCAAUUAUAGUUUUAAGAUGAUUUUUCUAGCAUUGGGGAAAUUUUAGGAAAUUAAGAGUAAAUAGUGGACGUGGGACCCACUAGUGCGAAAAGUUCGGAAAAAUUCGGCCGAUAAGGUUAAGUUUCGGAUACUGUUUAAAAUUUAUCGGGUGUUAAGAGAUAAGUAGUGUGUGUGAAGUGAUUGAUGUGAGAGAGAAAAGAAAGAUAAGAAUGCAUUUAUGAAGGUGACAAGUGUCACCUUCUUAUUGGAUGCCUUUUAAGAAUUACUAUUCACAAUUUUGACUUUUUUGACCAAAGGUUAAAUAUCCAAAAAUUGCACAAAAUUCACCAUUUUUUCCUCCUUAUGGCCGGCCCUCUCUAAGCAAGAAGAAAGACAAAACUCUUCAACAUUCUAGCAAACUUCUAGCUCAAAUCAACUAAAUCACUUGCUUAACUUGGUUUUCACUCCAUUAAAUUUUUCCUUCUAGUGCUAGUAAGUUGUUUGGUGAACUUUGUUUGAAGGACUAAGGUGCACAACAUCUUUCUCUCUUUUGGUUUGUGGUAAGUGAAGCUUGAAACAUCCUACUACACCUAAUGAUGCUUAUUGUAGACACCAAAUUUUAAAUAAUUUUGUAUGUUGCAUCUAAUUCAUGAUUUUUGUUGCAGAUUGUCUGCAUUCUAGUUCGUUAUUGUUUGUUUCUCAUUUUUAGUGGUUAUUUUAUUUUAGUUCAUUUUUGGCCCUUUUAGUUGAUCUAUUUCAUUUGUCAUUUAUUCUUGUUUGUCUUUUUAGUUUUAUUUACUUUUAGUUUUAGUUUUAGUUUUAGUUUUUAAAUUUUAAGAUUAGCAUAGAGUUGCUAGAGAAAAAAGGAAAACAUUCAAAAAAUAUAUGUUUUAGUCAUUUUUGUUUUUAUUUAAUGCUUUCUUGAUAAAAAAAAAGAUUAUGAAAAUCAUGAAAAAAAAAGAAAAAAACAGGCAAAAACAUUCAAAAAAUAGGUUUUUUUUUUUGGGAAAAACAAUGGAAAAGAAAGAAAAAGAAAGAAAAAGAAAUUUGCUCACAAAGUAUGUUUAUUUCUUUUAAAUUCAACUUUUUGGCAUUUUAUUUUAUUAAGUUAUUUGAAAAAAGUGAAAAAAUGAGAAAAAUGAAAAAAAUGGAAAGUUGCGUUUUUGUUGUUUCUAGUUUAUUUUUCUAAUGUUAAUUAAGUUGUUUUUGUUAUUAAUUAUUAUUGUUAUCAUUUUUUGUUGUUUAAUUAAUUAAUUUUUUUCAAAAAAAAAUAAAUAAAUAAAUUUACCGCAGCAUGCACGCUGCAAUUUUUUGCAGCGUGCAAGGCACAACCUCAAUAGACAUCGGAUGGCUGGAUGGAAAGGGAAGGACAAGCCUUCAUCCUCACCAUUGGGGUGAGGGUUUAGGAACCUUGGAGUUCCAUAUAAAAGGGAAGAGAAGGCUCAGCCGUGAAGGGAGAGGAAGAAAAUUUGGAGCUGACGGCUAAGAGAAAAC
rnacentral:lncRNA from 1 species